rnacentral:lncRNA from 1 species
UUUGCCUGAGGAAUCUGAAACUUUUGCCUGCUUUGGCUGACAGAAGCACGUCAGAUGACCUAAGAAGGACAUGUGGAUCUCCGAGAAGUUGCUCUCAGUCUCAAAGGUAGGAUAAGUUACAGUGCAAAUUCCAUAGUAAUAU